UACGGAGGAUGCGAGCGUUAUCCGGAUUUAUUGGGUUUAAAGGGUGCGUAGGCGGGCUUUUAAGUCAGCGGUAAAAAUUCGGGGCUCAACCCCGUCCGGCCGUUGAAACUGGGGGCCUUGAGUGGGCGAGGAGAAGGCGGAAUGCGUGGUGUAGCGGUGAAAUGCAUAGAUAUCACGCAGAACCCCGAUUGCGAAGGCAGCCUUCCGGCGCCCUACUGACGCUGAGGCACGAAAGCGUGGGUAUCGAACAGG
rnacentral:rRNA from 1 species